rnacentral:miRNA from 1 species
AGGAUGUGGUGCAGACUCA